rnacentral:misc_RNA from 1 species
CACACCCCAAGCUCGGCUUGAUGUUGGACGCUGUCUGUGAAAGGACAGGUCUGGAACGCGUGGGCGCCGCCGCCGGACCACGAGCGUAGCAAGACGCAAGUCAAAUCGCUCUGUGGGCUUACUCGGUGGACGGCCGUCUAGAUGCUGGGGUAACGCCUGCGUCGAAAACACCUAACCAAA